AUCGAACGCUGGCGGCAGGCUUAACACAUGCAAGUCGAGCGAGCGGCGGACGGGCGGAUAAUGGCGGGGAAACUGCCUGAUGGAGGGGGAUAACUACGGGAAACGGUAGAUAAUACCGCAUAACGUCAGAUGGGCCCAGAUGGAAUUAGCUAGUAGGGGGGGUAAUGUCUCACCUAGGCGACGAGCCCUAGCUGGUCUGAGAGGAUGACCCGCCAAACUGGAACGGAGACACGGGCCAGACUCGUACGGGAGGCAGCAGUGGGGAAUAUUGCACAAUGGGAGCAAGCCUGAUGCAGCCACGCGGCGUGUGUGAAGAAGACCUUCGGGUUGUAAAGCCCUUUCAUCGAGGAGGCGGUACUCGCAGAGGAAGCACCGGCUAACGCCGUGCCAGCCGCCGCGGUAAUAC
rnacentral:rRNA from 1 species